rnacentral:rRNA from 1 species
ACGCUGGCGGUAGGCUUAACACAUGCAAGUCGAGCGGUAACAGACAUUUUGAUUUUGCUUGCAAAAUCUCGUGCUGACGAGCGGCGGACGGGUGAGUAACGCGUAGGAAUCUACCUAGUAGAAGGGGAUAGCCCGAGGAAACUCGGAUUAAUACCGUAUACGUCCUUAGGGAGAAAGAGGGCUGAGCUUGAUGCUCUCGCUAUUAGAUGAGCCUGCGUAAGAUUAGCUUGUUGGUGAGGUAAAGGCUCACCAAGGCUACGAUCUUUAGCUGGUCUGAGAGGACGAUCAGCCACAUUGGGACUGAGACACGGCCCAGACUCCUACGGGAGGCAGCAGUGGGGAAUAUUGGACAAUGGGCGCAAGCCUGAUCCAGCCAUACCGCGUGUGUGAAGAAGGCUUUCGGGUUGUAAAGCACUUUAAGUGAGGAAGAAAAGAUACCAGUUAAUACCUGUUAUCCGUGACAUUACUCACAGAAUAAGGACCGGC